GACAUCAGGGCGCGUUGAGACAAUGCUGUGAUCUUCCACAAGGAAGUCAUGAAGUUUUCAAGAAUGCUUCCCUCUUCAUAACCCCCAGGACUUUGUUUGCCAACACCUGUACUUCCUGCUUUGGUAAAUACACGGAAGGCCAGUGGGCAUCCAAAGGAGACCUGGAGCAUCAAAGCAGCUUGGCAGGUUGUCCCAGAUUGCAAGGCAAAAUAUAUUCUGUUUGUGGCAGUUGUCUUCUGUUCAGUGGGCAGUUUUCCUUAUCUCUUCCACAACCAAUCCUCUCUCAGGGGAGACAUCUGCUGAUAACAGGCUAUUGAAUGUCACUGCAUGGCUGAUAAGAGCUACAGCAUCCCACUGGGAGAUGCUCUGCCCAGA